UACAGAGGGUGCAAGCGUUGUUCGGAAUUAUUGGGCGUAAAGGGCGCGUAGGCGGUGCGGUAAGUCUGUAGUGAAAUCUCUGGGCUCAACUCAGAGUCUGCUGCAGAAACUGCCGUGCUUGAGUGUGGGAGAGGUGAGUGGAAUUCCCGGUGUAGCGGUGAAAUGCGUAGAUAUCGGAAGGAACAUCAGUGGCGAAAGCGACUUCCUGGACCAAUACUGACGCUCAUGUGCGAAAGCGUGGGGAGCAAACAGG
rnacentral:rRNA from 1 species